AAUAGAUACCCGGUAGUCCAUGCCGUAAACGUUGGGAACUAGAUGUAGGGCCUGUUCCACGGGUUCUGUGUCGUAGCUAACGCAUUAAGUUCCCCGCCUGGGGAGUACGGCCGCAAGGCUAAAACUCAAAGGAAUUGACGGGGGCCCGCACAAGCGGCGGAGCAUGCGGAUUAAUUCGAUGCAACGCGAAGAACCUUACCAAGGCUUGACAUAUAGAAGAACACUGCAGAGAUGCAGGACUCUUUGGACACUUCUAUACAGGUGGUGCAUGGUUGUCGUCAGCUCGUGUCGUGAGAUGUUCGGUUAAGUCCGGCAACGAGCGCAACCCUCGUCCUAUGUUGCCAGCGGUUCGGCCGGGAACUCAUGGGAUACUGCCGUGGUCAACACGGAGGAAGGUGGGGAUGACGUCAAAUCAUCAUGCCCCUUAUGUCUUGGGCUUCACGCAUGCUACAAUGGCCGGUACAAAGAGCGGCGAUACCGUAAGGUGGAGCGAAUCUCAAAAAGCCGGUCUCAGUUCGGAUUGGGGUCUGCAAC
rnacentral:rRNA from 1 species